rnacentral:misc_RNA from 1 species
GAUGAUGAACGCAGCGAAAUGCGAUAAGUAAUGUGAAUUGCAGAAUUCAGUGAAUCAUCGAAUCUUUGAACGCACAUUGCGCCCCUUGGUAUUCCGAGGGGCAUGCCUGUUCGAGCGUCAUUAUAACCCCUCAAGCUCAGCUUGGUGUUGGGGCCUGCUGCACUGGCAGCCCUUAAAAUCAGUGGCGGCGCCAUCUGGCUCUAAGCGUAGUAAUUCUUCUCGCUAUGGAGUCCUGGUGGAUGCUUGCCAUCAACCCCCAAUUUUUCUAUGGUUGACCUCGGAUCAGGUAGGGAUACCCGCUGAACUUAAGCAUAUCAAUAAGCGGAGGA